rnacentral:rRNA from 1 species
UUUGAUCAGAAGUGAGAAUGUUGACAUGAGUAGCGACAAACAGGGUGAGAGACCCUGUCGCCGAAAGUCCAAGGGUUCCUGCUUAAAGCUAAUCUGAGCAGGGUAAGCCGGCCCCUAAGGCGAGGCAGAAAUGCGUAGUCGAUGGGAACCACGUUAAUAUUCGUGGGCCAGAAGGAAGUGACGGAUCUCGAAGAUUGUUCGCCCUUAUCGGAUUGGGCGGGCCGUUUAGAGGUUCCUGGAAAUAGCCCUUCAUCAGACCGUACCCUAAACCGACACAGGUGGACUGGUAGAGAAUACCAAGGCGCUUGAGAGAACCACAUCAAAGGAACUCGGCAAAAUGCCUCCGUAAGUUCGCGAGAAGGAGGCCCCAUCUUUAGGCAACUAGAGGUGGGGGGCACAGACUAGGGGGUGGCGACUGUUUACUUAAAACACAGGGCUGUGCGAAGUCGCAAGACGACGUAUACAGUCUGACGCCUGCCCGGUGCUGGAAGGUUAAGAGGAGAGGUGCAAGCUUUGAAUUGAAGCCCCAGUAAACGGCGGCCGUAACAAUAACGGUCCUAAGGUAGCGAAAUUCCUUGUCGGGUAAGUUCCGACCUGCACGAAUGGCGUAACGAUCUCCCCGCUGUCUCUGAUGUGGACUCAGCGAAAUUGAACUGUGUGUCAAGAUGCACACUACCCGCGGUUAGACGGAAAGACCCCAUGCACCUUUACUAUAGCUUCGCACUGGCAUCAGGAUUGAGAUGUGCAGGAUAGGUGGUAGGCCUUGAAGCGGGAACGCCAGUUUCCGUGGAGCCUCCCUUGAGAUACCACCCUUCGCACUCUUGAUGUCUAACCGCGGUCCGUUAUCCGGAUCCGGGACCCUGCGUGGUGGGUAGUUUGACUGGGGCGGUCGCCUCCUAAAGAGUAACGGAGGCGCGCGAAGGUUGGCUCAGAGCGGUCGGAAAUCGCUCGUUGAGUGCAAUGGCAGAAGCCAGCCUGACUGCAAGUCUGACAAGACGAGCAGAGACGAAAGUCGGCCAUAGUGAUCCGGUGGUCCCAAGUGGGAGGGCCAUCGCUCAACGGAUAAAAGGUACGCUGGGGAUAACAGGCUGAUGAUGCCCAAGAGUCCAUAUCGACGGCAUCGUUUGGCACCUCGAUGUCGGCUCAUCUCAUCCUGGGGCUGGAGCAGGUCCCAAGGGUAUGGCUGUUCGCCAUUUAAAGAGGUACGUGAGCUGGGUUUAGAACGUCGUGAGACAGUUCGGUCCCUAUCUGCCGUGGGUGUAGGAGAUUUGAGAAGAGUUGCCCCUAGUACGAGAGGACCGGGGUGAACGAACCACUGGUGGACCAGUUAUCGUGCCAACGGUAGUGCUGGGUAGCUAUGUUCGGACAGGAUAACCGCUGAAGGCAUCUAAGCGGGAAGCCCCCUUCAAAACAAGAUCUCCCUUGAGAGCCGUGGAAGACCACCACGUCGAUAGGCCAGA